AGUUGCUUAGCUUAACGGUAAAGCGCCUACCCACAAACAAAUGGGCGGAGAGAUACAGGUUCAAUUCCUGUAGCAGCAC
rnacentral:tRNA from 1 species